rnacentral:pre_miRNA from 1 species
UGAUGAUGAUGACGUAGAUGAUGAUGGUGCAAUUGAUGGCUUAUCAAUUGCACCAUCAUCAUCCUGAAUGAUG